UUCCAAGUGGCUAGCUGGCACACUGCUAACGUAAGCCCAAAAUAAAGGGUUUGGGAUAGUUUCUGAAUAGAAUAAUUCCUCUCGAAGGUACCAUGGAAUCAUGUCAUUUGUGCUGUAACCUGUUUUUACUGACUUCUAGCUACAACUGAGUUGCUUUACUGUGGAGCAGUUCGCUGAUUAUGAGAUUCCUGCGCUGCUGACUGAGGUGGCCGUGCAGAUAUCCCCUGCAAACAGAAAAUGAGGCUGUCCCUGUGAAAUGACCUGCUGGAGAAAAGGCUCAUUAAUCAGAAACAGGCCUGAGCCCAGUUCACCUUCUGC
rnacentral:lncRNA from 1 species